GAUCAAAAGUAUACAUAGAUUUAGGAACACUGUGUAGCAAUAUUCUCUUGUGCUGAGCUGGAUCUUAUUUUUUGUCUGGGCCAGGAGUCCUGUGCAAAUUGAUUUAAAAGGCCUAGUUGUAGGAUGUGGAUUGUAGGAUGAUGCUGAGCUGGCAGUGCUCUUGCUCUGAAAAAGGCAGAUGGGAUGCCGAUGCAUCAGGUAUUACAAAUGCAGAUAAAAAAGUAUUGAUGUCACUGCAAACACUGCUACUCUGAAACAGAGAAAGAGAUGUGAUUCAAAUCUUCUGUAUUGAAAAAGAUUAAUUGAAACUGUACUGGAAGCAGAGACAUGUUGCCUCUAAAAUGGCAGAAGAGAAUGACCGGAUGUUUGUCUCAAGUAGCUGUGGAAUGGAUGAUGUGAUUCUAAUUUCUAGGGAAAAAAAUUGAUGAAAAAAAUUAGAUAAGCCUAAAUAAAAUAUUGGCUUAAGAUAAAAUGUACACAGGUCAUUGAUAAAAUUUGGUUUAGAGUCUAAAAGGUGUUCCUGAGUGUUACAGCCAGUAGAUUCUGGGAUAAAAGGAGUGUUCAGUGGAGGAAGGAAUCAGACUGGAUUUGGUAGCUUUGCGAUAGGUCUGUGGUGGAGAUUCGGGGCUGUUGGACCCCAAGGAGCUUUCGGAGUGUAUUUUUAAGCAGUUAGUGCCCUCUAGUGAGAGUCUUAGGUAAUAAUCUUGGUCCUGGUUUUGUAGUAUGUUAACAACUCUUAACAGUACUUUGGUGUGUUACCGAAAUGAAAGAAGCUUUGGUAUUAAAAAUGCAGGAGGAUGAGUGUAUGAAGAAAGAUCCUAUGAAUGCAAGUCAUCAAGUGGUUUGUAUUGGGAGGGAUCUUUAAAGGUUUAUUAUAAGUGUAACCACCUUCUCAUGUGGAUUGUGUCCUAAAAUCUUAGGUACUUCUUUAGACGAUCACUCAAGUUUUUGCAGUUCAGUGUAAAGCAGAAGAUGUCAGCAAACUUGUGAUUUCAGUCUUGACAACUGAAGAAGCACUGCAUUACAUACCUGUGGAACCAAGUGGCAGGAUUAGAAGUACCAAACUCGUGGCAAAGUUACAAAACCCCACUGGAAAAAAAUCCUGGAGAUGAUAAAACAGAUGAAGAGAUGGAGGGGACACAUUCAGAGGAUGAAAUGUUUGCUCAGAGAGGCCUUCGCAGAACUCAGAGUAUGAAGUCUGUGAAAACUAUUAAAGGCUGUAAAGAAGCAAGUAUAA